rnacentral:rRNA from 1 species
CGCGGCCUAUCAGCUUGUUGGUGAGGUAACGGCUCACCAAGGCGACGACGGGUAGCUGUUCUGAGAGGAAGAUCAGCAACACUGGAACUGAGACACGGUCCAGACACCUACGGGUGGCAGCAGUCGAGAAUCAUUCACAAUGGGGGCAACCCUGAUGGUGCAACGCCGCGUGGAGGAUGAAGGCCCUAGGGUCGUAAACUCCUGUCAUAUGAGAGUAAGGCAUAGAGGGAAUAAUACCCUUUUAUGUUUGAUAGUAUCAUAAGAGGAAGGGACGGCUAACUUCGUGCCAGCAGCCGCGGUAAUACGAAGGUCCCGAGCGUUAUUCGGAAUCACUGGGCGUAAAGAGUACGUAGGCGGUUUGGUAAGUCAGGUGUGAAAUCCCGGGGCUCAACCCCGGAACUGCACCCGAUACUGCCAGACUGGAGUAAUGGAGAGGCAGGUGGAAUUCUCGGUGUAGCAGUGAAAUGCGUGGAUAUCGAGAGGAAGACCAAUGGCGAAGGCAGCCUGCUGGACAUUUACUGACGCUGAGGUACGAAGGCCAGGGUAGCGAAAGGGAUUAGAUACCCCUGUAGUCCUGGCAGUAAACGGUGCGCGCUUGGUGUGGGAGGAUUCGACCCCUUCCGUGCCGGAGCUAACGCGUUAAGCGCCCCGCCUGGGGAGUACGG